rnacentral:rRNA from 1 species
AUUGAACGCUGGCGGCAUGCCUUACACAUGCAAGUCGAACGGUAACAGGCCUUCGGGUGCCGACGAGUGGCGAACGGGUGCGUAAUACAUCGGAACGUGCCCGAUCGUGGGGGAUAACGAGGCGAAAGCUUUGCUAAUACCGCAUACGAUCUACGGAUGAAAGCAGGGGACCGCAAGGCCUUGCGCGGACGGAGCGGCCGAUGGCAGAUUAGGUAGUUGGUGGGAUAAAAGCUUACCAAGCCGACGAUCUGUAGCUGGUCUGAGAGGAUGAUCAGCCACACUGGGACUGAGACACGGCCCAGACUCCUACGGGAGGCAGCAGUGGGGAAUUUUGGACAAUGGGCGCAAGCCUGAUCCAGCCAUGCCGCGUGCAGGAUGAAGGCCUUCGGGUUGUAAACUGCUUUUGUACGGAACGAAAAGCAUUCUUUUAAUACAGGAGGGUCAUGACGGUACCGUAAGAAUAAGCACCGGCUAACUACGUG